rnacentral:rRNA from 3 species
AGUCGAGCGGAAGGCCCCUUCGGGGGUACUCGAGCGGCGAACGGGUGAGUAACACGUGAGUAACCUGCCCCCGACUCUGGGAUAAGCCUGGGAAACCGGGUCUAAUACCGGAUAUGACCACUGCUCGCAUGGGUGGUGGUGGAAAGUUUUUUCGGUCGGGGAUGGGCUCGCGGCCUAUCAGCUUGUUGGUGGGGUGAUGGCCUACCAAGGCGACGACGGGUAGCCGGCCUGAGAGGGCGACCGGCCACACUGGGACUGAGACACGGCCCAGACUCCUACGGGAGGCAGCAGUGGGGAAUAUUGCGCAAUGGGCGGAAGCCUGACGCAGCGACGCCGCGUGGGGGAUGAAGGCCUUCGGGUUGUAAACCUCUUUCAGCACCGACGAACCUGGACGGUAGGUGCAGAAGAAGCGCCGGCUAACUACGUGCCAGCAGCCGCGGUAAUACGUAGGGCGCAAGCGUUGUCCGGAAUUAUUGGGCGUAAAGAGCUCGUAGGCGGCCUGUCGCGUCCGUCGUGAAAGCCCACGGCUCAACCGUGGGUCUGCGGUGGAUACGGGCAGGCUAGAGGCAGGUAGGGGAGAACGGAAUUCCCGGUGUAGCGGUGAAAUGCGCAGAUAUCGGGAGGAACACCGGUGGCGAAGGCGGUUCUCUGGGCCUGUUCUGACGCUGAGG